UUACACUGUAUUUUAGAUGAGUUCAAGAAAGAAACUCAAAGUUUAAUCUAAAAAUAAAAGUUAGACUUUUUAUAUUUUAAGCAUUAUUUUUACACACACUUCUUUAAUGCUUAAUAUUGUCUGAUAAUUUUAGAAGUAAAAUUAUUAGAAUUACUUGAGAAAAAAAGAAGCCAGGUUAGGCGAGCUGAGAUAAAUUUUUGUCAAAAUUGAAGAGAUGAGUCUAGGCAAGCUGAGAUAAAUUGUAGUCAAAUAAAAGAAAGCAGGCUGGGCGAGAACUAUCAUAUGUUUACUUUGUUUACUUUGAAAAUAUGGUUUUAACUUAGUAUACUUUAAUUAUUUAAAAGUCGCCUAGUUGAUUAUUUAAAAUUCGCUAAGUUGAUCAUUAGCUAAUAGUUUUAAAGGAAAUUAGUUGUCGCAAUCAAGAUUUUGACUAUUUUUACCAAUCCUCUAGAAAAGGCAUCAGCAACAGAUUAAUCAGAUGACGUGUUUGUUCAAUAUAGUCAUAUAAUAUAAAACUAUAAAAAAUUGUUAUAAUUUUUUAAUUUGUUAAUAAAGAAAGUUGUUAACUUAAAAAUGUUAAAUGCACA